GGAGGGCCGAGUCAGUCCUGCCGCCUGCCAACGUGGAUGCGCUGGAGGAGUAGGGUGGGUUAUACCACUAGGGGGUCCCUGAACCCACUGGCGAGGCCCUGUCGGAGUCCGGAGUUGGGCGAGGCUUGGUCGGAGUCGACUCGUGGCGCUAUGGGCCCCUGCGCUAGUUUAAGGAAAUAAAGUUGCGCCUUCACUAACACCUGU
rnacentral:lncRNA from 1 species